rnacentral:rRNA from 1 species
GAUUAGCCUGCGUCCGAUUAGCUAGUUGGUAGGGUAAAAGCCUACCAAGGCAAUGAUCGGUAGGUGGUCUGAGAGGACGAUCACCCACAAUGGAACUGAGACACGGUCCAUACUCCUACGGGAGGCAGCAGUAGGGAAUUUUACGCAAUGGGCGAAAGCCUGACGUAGCGACACCGCGUGAACGAAGAAGCCUUUUGGGGUGUAAAGUUCUGUCGGCUGGAACGAAAUCAAUGACGGUACCAGCAGAGGAAGCAUCGGCUAACUACGUGCCAGCAGCCGCGGUAAGACGUAGGAUGCAAGCGUUGUCCGGAUUUAUUGGGCGUAAAGAGUUCGUAGGCGGUUUGUUAAGUCUGAUGUUAAAGAUCGGGGCUCAACCCCGGGAGUGCAUUGGAUACUGGCAGACUGGAGUACGGUAGAGGUAAGUGGAAUUUCUGGUGUAGCGGUGAAAUGCGUAGAUAUCAGAAAGAACAUCGGUGGCGUAAGCGACUUACUGGGCCGUAACUGACGCUGAGGAACGAAAGCCAGGGGAGCAAAUGGGAUUAGAUACCCCAGUAGUCCUGGCUGUAAACGAUGUCAACUAGCUGUUGG